GCCUACGGCCAUACCGUCCUGUCUGCGCCCGAUCCCGUCCGAUCUCGAAAGCUAAGCAGGACCGGGCCUGAUUAGUACUUGGACGGGAGACCGCCUGGGAAUACCUGGUGCUGUAGGCU
rnacentral:rRNA from 1 species